CAGAGACAAACAAGUUCUUAGCAGAGUUGACAAAAUCUAUGAGGUUAAGGGAUUGGAUUGUAGUGAUGCUUUUCAGUUGUUAAGUAUGAAAGCCUUCAAACAAAAGGAUCCUCCGAUGGAAUAUAUAGAGUUGUCCAAAAGCGUGCAAGCUUAUUGUAAAGGUGUUCCAUUAGCUCUCGAAGUUUUGGGUUCCCAUUUGUGCAAUAAGACUCCUGAAGAAUGGGAAAGUGAAUUGAAUAAAUUGAAGAGAUUUCCUGACUGCAA
rnacentral:misc_RNA from 1 species